rnacentral:rRNA from 1 species
AACGCGAAGAACCUUACCAGGGCUUGACAUGCCGUUGACCGGUCUAGAGAUAGAUCUUUAUCCUUCGGGGUACAGCGGACACAGGUGGUGCAUGGUUGUCGUCAGCUCGUGUCGUGAGAUGUUGGGUUAAGUCCCGCAACGAGCGCAACCCUCGUCUUUAGUUGCCAUCAUUAAGUUGGGCACUCUAAAGAGACUGCCGAUGACAAAUCGGAGGAAGGUGGGGAUGACGUCAAAUCAUCAUGCCCUUUAUGUCCUGGGCUACACACGUGCUACAAUGGUCGGUACAACGAGAAGCAAGCCAGCGAUGGCAAGCAAAUCUCUAAAAGCCGAUCCCAGUUCGGAUUGCAGGCUGCAACUCGCCUGCAUGAAGUCGGAAUCGCUAGUAAUCGCAGGUCAGCAUACUGCGGUGAAUACGUUCCCGGGUCUUGUACACACCG